UAUGGCCAUAUCACAUUAAAACACUGGUUCCCAUACAAUCACAAAAGUUAAGCAACAUUGAACCUGGUCAGUACCUAGAUGGAUGACUGUUUGGGAAUACCAGGUGCU